AACCGCCACCAAACGGCCAAACCUGAUACGACUUGCGCGCUCACCAUUUUACAAAAUAAUAAUAAUGAUAAAAAAAAACAUUUUCAGUGAAUGAAUAAAUUAUCUUUACUGCACUGCACUGCACUGAACUGCGAGAUUUGGCUGUUUUGUACUUCUGCAUUUUGAUCUCUCAUUCUCACUAUGUGGCGCUCUGUUUGGCGAUCGAUCGAUCGCUUCUCUCUCCAGCACUUCAAAUAUGUGAUCAAUGAACUGCGACAGAUCAAAGCUGUGGACUGGCAUAACCGGGAAGUCGUCAUUGAUCUACUACAAUCCAUAGUGGAGAUUGUUACAUAUGGUGAUCGGCAAGAUCCAAUGAUUUUCGAAUGUUUUAUGGAAUAUCAAGUUCUGGCAGAGUUUGUCCGUGUUUUAAAGAUCAGUAGAAAUUCAAGAAUUGAGGCACCAUUGCUUCAAUACUUGAGUAUAAUGAUACAAAACAUGGGUAGUGAACAUGCAAUAUACUAUUGUUUAAGUAAUGACUACAUCAACAACAUCAUAGAACAUACGUAUGAAUUUGAGGCAGGAGACCUGGCUCCAUAUUACAUGUCCUUCUUAAGAGCAGUGAGCAACAAAAUUAACAGGGACACCCUCUGUCUUCUUGUUAAGGUUGAUAGUGAUGCUGUAACUUCAUUUCCAUUGUAUACUGAGGCUCUUAAAUUUGCCCAACACGGGGAAAAAAUGAUUCAGACGGCUGUACGUGCAUUAACACUUAACAUAUUUAAUGUUAGCGAUGACAUGGUCUAUCAGUUUGUGACAACUCCUCCAGCCUCAAAAUACUUUUCAGAUUUGGUUCAUAGCUUAAGAAAGAAAUGCAUUCAUCUUGAUGGCCUUGUCAAAGCUGCACAGGAAACAUAUACUGAUCAAAAGAAAAGAGAUAUACUUCUGGAAAGUGAUAAAAUUGUUGAUGAUAUGUAUUACUUUAAGGAUAUUCUUUCUAUUAGUGAGUCUCAUUUGAGUAAAGCCGUCACCAAGGAUCUUCUCAACAUACUUGUCUUUCCUCUAUUGCUCCCCUCAUUGCAACUGAGGCAGAGUAAUGAAUUUCAUGUAUCUGCAGCUACUUCUCUGUAUAUAGUUUCCCAGCUUCUUCAAGUUGUUGGUGGAAAGAACAUGAUUAACUCUGUAGCUGCUUUGCUUUUGUAUCCUUAUAUGGCCUUACGUAUCAGAGAUGCUAUUGAAGGAGAUACAAUUGAUGGUACUGAUGCAUGUUCUUUUUACAACCUUUUGCAUGAGUUGGAAAUUGCGAAAUUUUUUUCUCUCAAGUCUAAAGGAGAAGAAGACAUGAAUGGAAACCAUCUAUCUGCACAUGAGGAAGCAAUUACAUCAUCUAAUUCUGAUUCAGAUAGAAUCACCAUGGAUGGUGAUACAUGUGUAGAAAGGUGCAGGAAAGGAAUUCUGGCAUAUAUUAACUCAGAAAAUCACAUUCUAUUAUUUGCAUCCGUAUUUUUAUUGCUUAUUUUAGCUGAAAAUAAAGAUCUUGAUAGUUUGAUGUCUUCAGCGAUUGGAUUAAGCGAAAUGCAAGAUACAAUGAGAUAUGAUAUAUCAGCUUCAGAAGUGGGAAAAAACAAUAUCCUCAGAAGACUUAUGCCUCAGGUUUUAAAUGCAUUAUUGAAGGUUUUAGCCAGCCAACCACCAUUCUGUGCUCUAAUACAAUGGCAUGCUGGGUGGAUCUUGCGGAAGCUUCUUCUUUUUCAAGGAAACAUACUCAAUGAUCACCAUCUCCAGCUUUUCGAUACUUCAUAUCUGCGGUCAUGUGAACGUCUUCAGAAAGAACUUGAUGGAUGCUGGUUUGAUCAAAUCCUUGAAACUUUGAAGGAUGAAUGGGCAAACUGUAAAUCAGCUCUUCAGGAAGCAUUGCAAUCUAAAGAUCCUUUGUUCCUGCUUGAGCUUGCUGUCUGCCAACAAACAAUUGAUGGCAGUAGAACUUCUUCCAUAUUUUCUUGGGAAACAAUGGUUGAUGCAGUGAAGGUUUUCACUUUUCAUGUUCAACUGAAGACAUUUAUUGUCAAAGGAAAUUUACCCGAGAACCCCUUUCUAGAUUUAAUGAGUGGUCCUGCCACAGAUUCUGAAAUAUCCCAAUCCUUAGAUCUUUCAUCUGCAAGCUUUGGGUCAGAGGUUUUUUUAGGAUCUGGAUUUCCAUGCAGAAUUGCUUUCUCCAAUGCUGGGGUCAGGGAUAUCUACCUGAUACCUGUGGCUAGAGGAAUAUCUGGCAAACUGAUUCUUGCAGAGAAGCAUCCCUUUCGAAGUCAACGAGGUGUUGUAAUUGCUAUUGCUCCACUGGCUGGUUUGAGUCCAAAGAUAGACGAGGACCAUCCAAUGUGGUUGCAUCUUCGGAUAAGAGAAUUUGACCCAAGAUCUAAUGCAAGUAAAACUAGAGGUUUCAAUGCUAAGAAGUCUGACACCGGAGUAGACGGGAGAUGGACACUUGGUUUUACCAGUAACAAGGCUUGUGAGGCUACUCGCAUGUUGAUACUCGAAGAAACUCGUAAACAAAGAUCCCAUAUUGAGAGCAUACUUUCUCCUUUCCUACAAAAUGAUUAUCUUGAAAAUUUGUUCGAUAAUCAAGCUGGAUGAUGCUCUUCUCCUCUCCGGGCAGGGGUUAUAGGUAUUGCUUUCACCCACAUGGCCACGUAGAAGGAAGAUGCUUAGCUGAAGGGAAUGGGAUUGCUUUAUUUGUUCAAAUUAUUUGUAUGUCUUUUUAGGCCAACAAAGAAAGAUGGAAGCUUUUUGACUGAGAAAAAAUAUUGCCGAUUGCUCUUAUUCUCACGGUCACUCUUCAAGAAGAAUAAACAGUUGAAGGUUUUGGAUUAUUUGUGAUUUAUAAGCCUGACUCUUUGGGUCCUAUGUUUUCAUUAUUUAUUCCACUGUUUUUUUUUUUUUUUGUUCUGCUUGUCACCUGCUAAUCAUACGAGUACAUAGUAUAAAUGAGGAACUAUAUGUAUCUAUAUGUAUCAAGAUAUCAAAUCACCUUUUUGUAUUCCAAAAUCAUCAUUUGAUACCAUAAAUGUAAUACUCUUGUCUAA